GCGAAAGUGGCGGAAUUGGUAGACGCACCGGAUUUAGGUUCCGGCGGGUGACCCCCGUGGGGGUUCGAGUCCCCCCUUUCGCACCA
rnacentral:tRNA from 1 species